UACAGAGGUCCCGAGCGUUGUUCGGAUUCACUGGGCGUAAAGGGUGCGUAGGUGGCGAGGUAAGUCGGAUGUGAAAGCUCGGAGCUCAACUCCGAAAUGGCAUUGGAAACUACCUUGCUCGAGGGUUGGAGGGGGGACUGGAAUACUUGGUGUAGCAGUGAAAUGCGUAGAUAUCAAGUGGAACACCAGUGGCGAAGGCGAGUCCCUGGACAACUCCUGACACUGAGACACGAAGGCCAGGGGAGCAAACGGG
rnacentral:rRNA from 1 species